rnacentral:rRNA from 1 species
GACGAACGCUGGCGGCGUGCUUAACACAUGCAAGUCGAACGGAAAGGCCCUGCUUUUGUGGGGUGCUCGAGUGGCGAACGGGUGAGUAACACGUGAGUAACCUGCCCUUGACUUUGGGAUAACUUCAGGAAACUGGGGCUAAUACCGGAUAGGAGCUCCUGCUGCAUGGUGGGGGUUGGAAAGUUUCGGCGGUUGGGGAUGGACUCGCGGCUUAUCAGCUUGUUGGUGGGGUAGUGGCUUACCAAGGCUUUGACGGGUAGCCGGCCUGAGAGGGUGACCGGCCACAUUGGGACUGAGAUACGGCCCAGACUCCUACGGGAGGCAGCAGUGGGGAAUAUUGCACAAUGGGCGGAAGCCUGAUGCAGCAACGCCGCGUGCGGGAGGACGGCCUUCGGGUUGUAAACCGCUUUCGCCUGUGACGAAGCGUGAGUGACGGUAAUGGGUAAAGAAGCACCGGCUAACUACGUGC